AAUAUUGGACAAUGGGGGCAACCCUGAUCCAGCCAUGCCGCGUGUGUGAAGAAGGUCUUCGGAUUGUAAAGCACUUUAAGUUGGGAGGAAUGGCUUUCGGCUAAUACCCUGAAGUUUUGACGUUACCAACAGAAUAAGCACUGGCUAACUCUGUGCCAGCAGCCGCGGUAAUACGAAGGGUGCAAGCGGUAAUCGGAAUUACUGGGCGUAAAGCGCGCGUAGGUGGUUCGUUAAGUUGGAAGUGAAAGGCCCGGGAUCAACCUGGGAAUUGCUUUCAAAACUGACGAGCUAGAGUACGGUAGAGGGUAGUGGAAUUUCCUGUGUAGCGGUGAAAUGCGUAGAUAUAGGAAGGAACAUCAGUGGCGAAGGCGACUACCUGGACUGAUACUGACACUGAGGUGCGAAAGCGUGGGGAGCAAACAGG
rnacentral:rRNA from 1 species